AAAAAAAAAUUUAUUAAUAAUAAUAAGUUUAUUUUAAAUUUAAUAUAAAUAAAUUUAAUUUUUAAAUUUUUUGUAAAGUUUAUAGAUAUAAUAAUAUUUAUGAUAGUGAAUUAGUAUUGAGAAAGAAAAAUGAAAUAUAUGAAAAUUAUUUUAAAGUUAUAUUUAUUUUAUGUACCUUUUGUAUCAGGGUUUAUUAAAUAAAAAAAUAAUUAUUUAUUUUUCUCGAAUUUAAAAGAGCUAAAUUAAUAUGAUAGUUUAUGUUUUAUAAUAAUUAUAAAUAUUAAUUUAGUAAUGAAAUGUUAUUCGUUUUUAAAUAUAUCUAGUUUUUUAAGAAAUAAAUUUAAUUUAUAUAUUAAUUAUAUAAUUUUUUUAUUUUAAAAUAAAUUAUUAAUUAAUAUAAAUAUUUUAAGGGAUAAGCUUUAAUUUAUUGAAUUAUAAUUUAUAAAAAUUUAUAUAAAUUGUAGAUUUAGAAAUAGUCAUCAAUAAAGAUUUUGUAUUAAUUUAUUUUUAAUAAAAAUUAUUUAUAAAAAUUUAAUUUUAGUAUUAAAAUGUUAAUUUAAAUAAUAAAAAUUAAUUAAUAAUGAUAAAAUUAGUAUAUUAAAUUGUUUAUUUUAAAAUUAUUAUAAGAUUAAUUUAAGGAAUUCGGCAAUUAUAAUGUUCACCUGUUUAACAAAAACAUGUCUUUUAGAUAAUAAUUUAAAGUCUAACCUGCCCACUGAAUUAAUUUGAAGGGCCGCGGUAUUUUGACUGUGCAAAGGUAGCAUAAUCAUUAGUCUCUUAAUUAGAGGCUUGUAUGAAUGGUUGGAUGAAGCAUUAACUGUCUCAAAUUAAUUUAAUUAGAAUUUAAUUUUUAAGUUAAAAAGCUUAAAUAUAGUUAAAGGACGAGAAGACCCUAUAGAUCUUUAUAAUAAUUUAUAUUUAAAUUAAUUAGUUAAUAAUAAAUUAUUAUAUAAUUUAUUAUUUUAUUGGGGUGAUGUAUAAAUUUGAUAAACUUUAUUUAUUAACAACAUUAAUUUAUGAAUAAUUGAUCCAUUAAUAAUGAUUAAAAGAUUAAGUUACCUUAGGGAUAACAGCGUAAUUUUUUUAGAGAGUUCAUAUCGAUAAAAAAGAUUGCGACCUCGAUGUUGAAUUAAAGGUAAAUUUUAGGUGCAGAAGCUUAAAAUUUUGGUCUGUUCGACCAUUAAAACUUUACAUGAUUUGAGUUCAAACCGGCGUAAGCCAGGUUGGUUUCUAUCCUUAAUAAAAUAAAAUAUUUUAGUACGAAAGGACCAAAUAUUUAAAAAAAUUUUUUUAAUUAGAAUAUUAAUAAUA
rnacentral:rRNA from 1 species